UCUAAUGGCACCCCUAAUACCUGCAGGCCCUGGUUUCCCAAGGGCUGAACCAUCGACAUUCAGCUUAAAAGAACCUGUUGGUGGUCUCAUCCAAUUGCAGACGACUUUUGUUUUGCAUUUCCUACUAUUGAUGCAGAUUCUACUAGGUUCAAAAAGGAAGUGAGAAGCUGGAAUGUGGUUAGGUGGCCAUUUGCCCUUACACCAAUGGGCUAACCUGACAAGGAUAAUGUCUUGC
rnacentral:lncRNA from 1 species